AUGGCGUCGUCGGCGGAGGGCGCAGCGGUGGUGGAUGCGUACAAGAAGGCUCUCGCCACUGCGGCCUCGGUGAGCGCGUACGCCAUGCUGGCGCGCGGCAUGGCGCGGGAGCUCCUCCCCGACGAGCUGCGCGCCGCGGUGCGCUGGGGCGCCGCGUUCGUGCGCUCCCGCUUCAGCGCCCCCGAGAAGGAGCGCCACGCCAUCGUCAUCCGGCGCGUGCUCGGCGGCGGGUACAACGAGGACGACCUGUUCGACGCGGCGCUCACGUACCUGGCCACCAAGAUCAACCCGCAGUCCAUGAGCCGGCUCUGCCUCGCGCGCACCCGCAAGAGGGAGCCGGACGGGAGCGGCAGCUGCAGCACGCUCCUGAGCAUGGAGAACGGGGGCUCCACCACCGAUACCUUCCAAGGCGUGGAGUUCCGGUGGACGUCCAUCGAGAGCGGCGGCAACGACGGCAACAAUAGGGGCAAGGAAUGCCUGGAGCUCAGCUUUGACGCGGAGCACACGGAGACCGCGCUCCACAAGUACGUGCCCUUCAUUACGUCCACGGCGGAGGAGCUGCGGUUACGAGACCGCGCGCUCAAGAUCUUCCUCAACCAGGGCUCGAGUUGGAAAGGCAUCAACCACCACCACCCGGCCACGUUCGACACGCUCGCCAUGGACCCGUCCGUCAAGCAGGCCGUGAUUGACGACCUCGACCGGUUCCUGAAGCGGAAGGAGUACUACCGGCGGAUCGGCAAGGCGUGGAAGCGCGGGUACCUUCUCUACGGUCCACCUGGAACCGGCAAGUCCAGCCUGGUCGCCGCCAUGGCCAACUACCUCCGGUUCAACCUCUACGACCUUGAUCUCUCCGGGGUGUACGACAACUCGUACCUGCAGCGGCUGCUCAUCGACAUGUCCAACAAGUCUCGUCAUCGAGGACAUUGA
rnacentral:rRNA from 1 species